UAAAGAAACGUCAUAUUUAGCAAGGGUAUCAACAUCCCCAUUUGCCGCCCGAUAAAUAUGGGAGAAGGAGAUUAGAAGACCAGGUGUAGAGCAAAGUACUUAGCAACGCCUAAAAUCACAUAUGUUUCAUGUUCAAAAGACUAUGAGAUUGACAUUUUUAACACCUAUAUUCAUGUCAGACAUGUCACACUUAUCUAUGUCUAUAAUAUAGAGUACAUGUAACAUAGAUGCAGUAUACAGGGACUCCAAUUCAUACUCAAUUACAUUAAUAGAGUUAUAUUUUCUUGGUCAGGUCUGAAAGAUGCAUGUUCUAUAGCUUUUCAAGUAAGUCAGUUUAGUUCAGCUACUGAACUU
rnacentral:lncRNA from 1 species